AUAGACAGUUACCUCAGUCUAGCAUGUGUCUUCAACCUAUCUCUGUCAGUUCUCACAGACCAAGAUGCUUUUACUCACACAGCAGAGGCAGAUCUCCCAGAAACCUCAUCUACCCUCCAGUACUGUCUCAUUGUCCUGCACUGGUGAACUCAGCUACACCGGCUGCCCUAUCCUCUGCCUAUGUAUUCUCUCACACUCCACGAGAAACUGGCAGAGGUGGUGGUACGGGUCUCCUGUUGUCCAAGAGGUGGUCCUUCUCGCCCAUCACCCUGUCUCAUCUCAGUUUUUCAUCAUUUGAAUUUCAUGCAGUUAAGAUCUCCUUUGCCCGCUGUCAUCUAAACCAAGGAAGAAAUCUUGUCCUGCUCCUUGGCUAUCUGAUGUACUGCGCAACAACAGGAGAGAAUUAAGAACUGCGGAGAGAAGAUGGAAGAAAUCACAGCUUGAUGCAGAUCUCAUCUCUUACCAGACUCUUCUUUCCAAAUUCUCAUGUGAUGUGACUUCUGCCAAAACUACCUUCUUCAGACAAAAGUUGGAAGCGUCUGCACAUGAUCCUGGCAAACUCCACAACAUCUUCUCCUCACUACUCAACCCA